rnacentral:rRNA from 1 species
GACGAACGCUGGCGGCGUGCUUAACACAUGCAAGUCGAACGGAAAGGCCCUGCUUUUGUGGGGUGCUCGAGUGGCGAACGGGUGAGUAACACGUGAGUAACCUGCCCUUGACUUUGGGAUAACUUCAGGAAACUGGGGCUAAUACCGGAUAGGAGCUCCUGCUGCAUGGUGGGGGUUGGAAAGUUUCGGCGGUUGGGGAUGGACUCGCGGCUUAUCAGCUUGUUGGUGGGGUAGUGGCUUACCAAGGCUUUGACGGGUAGCCGGCCUGAGAGGGUGACCGGCAAAAUGGGACCGAGGUAAGGCCCAGGCCCCUUACGGGGGGAAGCGGGGGGAAAUAUGGCACAAGGGGCGGAGGCCUGAGGCAGCACCGCGGGUGCGGGAUUGCGGGCCUUGGGGUUGUAACCGCCUUCCCCUUGGACGGAGCCGGAGGUAAGGGUAAUGGUAAAGAAGCACCGGCUAACUACGUG